UGUGGGAGCGAGCUUGCUCGCGAUAGCGUCGGAUCAGCCUGUAUUGAUAUUGACUGACACACCGCCAUCGCGAGCAAGCUCGCUCCCACA
rnacentral:misc_RNA from 1 species